rnacentral:rRNA from 1 species
GUCGACCCCAGAUCAGGCAGAC